rnacentral:rRNA from 1 species
AACGAACGCUGGCGGCAUGCCUAACACAUGCAAGUCGAACGAGACCUUCGGGUCUAGUGGCGCACGGGUGCGUAACGCGUGGGAACCUGCCCUUAGGUUCGGAAUAACUCCCCGAAAGGGGUGCUGAUACCGGAUAGUGUCUUCGGACCAAAGAUUUAUCGCCUUUGGAUGGGCCCGCGUUGGAUUAGCUAGUUGGUAGGGUAAAAGCCUACCAAGGCGACGAUCCAUAGCUGGUCUGAGAGGAUGAUCAGCCACACUGGGACUGAGACACGGCCCAGACUCCUACGGGAGGCAGCAGUGGGGAAUAUUGGACAAUGGGCGAAAGCCUGAUCCAGCAAUGCCGCGUGAGUGAUGAAGGCCUUAGGGUUGUAAAGCUCUUUUACCCGGGAUGAUAAUGACAGUACCGGGAGAAUAAGCUCCGGCUAACUCCGUG